rnacentral:tRNA from 1 species
UAGUCUAGUGGUUAGGACUCAGUGCUUUUAUUACUUCGGUCCAGGUUCAAUCCCUGG